AAAUAGAGCUCUGACAGAUUUAAAUGAGAAAUAUCGAAACCUUCAACCUUUUCUAGACCAAAUAGAUCAAGUAGAAGAAAGUGUGGUCAACUUGGAGCAAGCUGCUCAUAGAUUAGAUGCCUAUUCCAGAAGAUUAGAACUGAAGUUCAAACAACUUGAAAAA